rnacentral:rRNA from 1 species
AAUAGAUACCCUGGUAGUCCACGCCGUAAACGAUGAGUGCUAAGUGUUAGAGGGUUUCCGCCCUUUAGUGCUGCAGCUAACGCAUUAAGCACUCCGCCUGGGGAGUACGGCCGCAAGGCUGAAACUCAAAGGAAUUGACGGGGGCCCGCACAAGCGGUGGAGCAUGUGGUUUAAUUCGAAGCAACGCGAAGAACCUUACCAGGUCUUGACAUCCUCUGCCAACCCUAGAGAUAGGGCGUUCCCCUUCGGGGGACAGAGUGACAGGUGGUGCAUGGUUGUCGUCAGCUCGUGUCGUGAGAUGUUGGGUUAAGUCCCGCAACGAGCGCAACCCUUGAUCUUAGUUGCCAGCAUUCAGUUGGGCACUCUAAGGUGACUGCCGGUGACAAACCGGAGGAAGGUGGGGAUGACGUCAAAUCAUCAUGCCCCUUAUGACCUGGGCUACACACGUGCUACAAUGGAUGGUACAAAGAGUUGCGAACCCGCGAGGGUAAGCCAAUCUCAUAAAAGCCAUUCUCAGUUCGGA